rnacentral:rRNA from 1 species
GGGUUGUGAGGUUAAGCGACUAAGCGUACACGGUGGAUGCCCUGGCAGUCAGAGGCGAUGAAGGACGUGCUAAUCUGCGAAAAGCGCCGGCGAGGUGAUAUGAACCCUUGACCCGGCGAUGUCCGAAUGGGGAAACCCAGUGUGUUCCGACACACUAUCGUUAACUGAAUACAUAGGUUAACGAGGCGAACCGGGGGAACUGAAACAUCUAAGUACCCCGAGGAAAAGAAAUCAACCGAGAUUCCCCCAGUAGCGGCGAGCGAACGGGGAGCAG